CAUUCAACAGGAUAUCAGCAACCAGAGAUAAUUGCUAAUAAAAGCCCUUCUCUGAAGCCAAAAGUUUCAAACUGGUGAAAUCAUAUGGAGCUGGAACACACUAGCCAAGAGUACCGCCUGGCCCUUGGGAAGCCUGACUCCAGAGAACCUACUAGAAGCCACUAGAAAACUAGUUGUCAAGGUCUGUGAGUGAUUCCUAUGAAAUACGCAAAAAACGCAGGAAAGCCAUUCAACUCUCAGGGAGCGCGCCCAGUGUCCCAGUUCUGAAGAAAUCGCCAAAAAGCCAAACGUGGUUGGUCCAGCAUCAACUUGCUAUAACAAGAGACUAAGGACAAAACACAGACACAAGGAAGCAAGGGCCCAUUACCUGCUACCCUGUCAAUCUGAGUCACAGGGGCAUUCACCACCCUCAAACCUUUAGUCAUGUUCACAGGCACUGAGAAGCAGCCAGCACCGAAGCUAAAGUUGACAGAAACCAAAAGCCAUCCCAACAAACCAACCAAAACCAACAGUAAGGCUGAACUAAUACAAUCAGGACAUUUUAUAGAUGAUUCUGAUGAUUCACGCAUUCAACAUCAUUUACUGAGGAUUUACUAUAUGUCAUUACUCAGCCUCUUGGUGAGAAAAACAUGGUAAUUAUUAAACAAA